CCUUCGUCUGUCGUGUGAUUUGAACUAGGUGAGGGUCUAUUAUCUACUAACUCGUGUUUAAAGGGUAGCGUUGACUUACGUUUGAUGCAACUGGCAAACGAAUUCCACCUUUCGGCUAACCUGCUAUGCGCAGGAAUACUGGCACGGGGGAGGAUUAAAGUUAUUAGGGAUAGACAAUUGGCAACGUAUUUAUUUCGUCUGACAGAGUUAUGUUGGUUUAACUAUAUUUUAAUUUAUUCGUUUUUAGUUGAUUAAAGGUAUUACAAUAUCAGCAAUAAGUAUCGUCGGAUGCAAAUGUAGAUAUAUUGUACAGCGAUGUACAAUAAAUAAAUAUUCUAGCUUCUAACUGGAUAAAUUUUACAAAUGUUUGGUAGGAUAAUAUUUAUUCGUAACAAUAAGAUUAAUAACAAACGCUAUGGUGUGAUGUGGGCGAUGGCGAACGAGAUCGAAAGGAAUGCGCCUCGCAGUGUUCGGAAAUUGGUGAAUUUGAGGGCGAAAAACUAGGUGGUGAACCUUCGCGAUUCGACUCUAAUUCUUCUCGAUGCCUCCUCUCUUCCUUUUUUAUUUCUGCAGCAAUUAAUCAUUUGUACCAACGUUCGGCUCGCUUUUUGUUGAGGUGACUUUUAUCUUUUCUAUUCUUUUUUUGAUUUCGUCAUGGAAUUAUAAUUCGUUCUUGACAACAAGUAAAGUCGUAAAUGAGUAAAUGAUUAUUUUAUUUGGUGACUGAGUUCACUGUAGACAAUCAGUGUGGCCUCGUAGGCCUCACCCAAGGAUGAGCAAUCUGCUAACGGUGGGAAGAGGAAAACGAAAACCAUAGAUGUUUCCAAUGAUUAAAAACACCGUGAUCAUUGGUCGAUACAGAGAAUAAUUGUCGUGAAUUCAAAAUGUUCGAAUGAAAUUUUAUGUGAGUUAUUUACUCGAUACUUCUAUCUGUCAACUAUAGUUGCCGACGGAUACUUUCGUUUAAAGACAACUUUGUUCAAUUAAAAGUUAAAAAAGAAACGAGGAGGGUGUACAAUUUCGAAUCUCCUACCUUGUUUGAUUUGUGGAGUCGAUCAGGUGUGAGUAUGGUUUGGCGAUGAAUCGGUUUUAACAAUUAAAUUUUGUUUCGCGAUUAGUUACUCGAUGUUUCGGAUUUUUCGAACUUAAUUAACAAUUUUAUUAAACGGAAUUACAGUAUGUACUAGAUUGUUUCUUUGACGCAGACGGAUCGACUUGCGAAUGAACAAAAGAAUAAAUGAAUCACCGAAUCUCAAGUUAAUACCGAACCUUAAGUGCAAUACUCUUACAAUACUUUUUAAGUUAAACUCACUGUUUCCAACUAAGGCUGACUUAUGACUGCUCUCAAUUAAAACUGAACUCUAACUACUUUCAACACUACUUUCAAUUAAAUUCUGAACUUGGUAAAACCAGCUCUGACCUCAAUUAAAACUGCACUCCAACAACUCUAUUGAGUACUGAAUCUCUAUUUAUAUUCUUCCUAAUUGUCACGUGACCGAUUAUUUCUUUUGUAAUUGUACCAUUACUACGUGACAAUUUAUGAAUUUCGUAACUACCUAUUUCCGCUGGGGUUCUUGUUUUCUUGAUUAUCUCACCCUUUGCUUGGUGUUAAUGACAUACAAGGUGCUUGAAAGAAUGUACAUGUUACAGGUGGUCGUAUUUUGCUGAUGCUGCGUCUGCGUUCUUUCCAUGACCUUCGUUACUGAUACCUGUGGAAUGUGCCGGUCGCGUGGCUGCUUGGCCUUGCUGAGGUUGCAUUUUGUGUGUCCGGUGAUCGCCCUGCUGAUGUCGGUGAAUCGUACGAGGUUAUAUUGAAUCAUGGAUACUGACAUGUCUGGAGCUGUAGAG